AACUGGGAAGCCUGGGAGGGCAGGAAGGCUGACAGCACUGGGGUGAUUUGCUUCCGGUGUGGGAAGGUGGGACACAUGUCCCGGGACUGUGUCUACGUGUCCCGGGCUCCGACUCAAACAAUGCAUUUGCCAUUUGUGGAGCUGAGCAGAUUGACUGGCCUGGCUGACCCAACAGGGAUCGAGUCUAUGGAUUGCAGCAUGGGAAGGGGUGCAUCAGGAGGCCCCAGACUCUGCCCAAUGGUCAACUCCUGGGUCGGGGGUGAGAGGUUGGAGGCCAUUAUUGACAUGGGUUGUUCCCACACUUCUGUCCAAAGCAAGCUGGCUGCCCCCUGCUUAUAUCCAGAAGGCCAAUCCCGUGAAGAUGACUUGUAUGCAUGGGCAUAGUACCUUUUAGCUCCCGGAAAAGUCACUGUACUAAACACCACCCAAAAAAUCUGGUUGGAGUGGUGUGGGACCUACCAUAACCCAUGAUUCUGGGACGUGACUAGCAGGAGAUUUACAAAGUCCUUAACAUGACAAGAAAGAACGUUGUCAGUCCGGCUGGGGAUCCCGCCAAGGACCUGGAUCUCAAACAGCUGGCAAAUAAUUGAGCCUUCUGAGAGGCUGAAGAGAGGGAACAAAAAUUCUAGGCCAUACAAGAAGUAGAGCUGGCGAAGGCGGAAGAAGGAAUAGUGGACCCGGGUCACUACGCCCACCUGCCCCAGUUUGAGGUUAGAAAUGGGCUGUUGUAUUGGGUGAAGCAGGGUCUACCAGGAGGGGCAGAGAUAGCUCAGCUGUUGGUACCCAUCUGGUUUAGACUCCCCCUCCCAAAGCUAGUGCAUGAAAACCCAUUGAGGGGACACCUGAGGACCCAUAAGACAGAAGCCAGGUUGACUAGGUGGUGUUUCUGGGCCGGGUUAUAUGAGCAGAUGGAAAAGUUUUGCCGGGCCUGUCUGGCCUGCCAACGAGUAAGCAGGGAUAGGCCAGCACGAGUCCCCUUACAACCCAUGCCAAUAAUUGAGGUUCCUUUUUUGCGGAUCAUGAUGGACAUAGUAGGCCCCUUUUCUAAGAGUUCAGCAGGGCACCUGUAUUUGCUUCUCAUCAUAGGUUCCUGGAAGCUUUUUCUAUGCGGUCAGUCACAGGGCCCCGGGUACCAGAGGAACUUAAGAAAUGGAUCGCCCAGACGGAUGUUUUGGAACGUGUGCUAGGGGCUGUGUUGUCCCAAGAGACCAAACGGAGCCUCCCGGCCAGUGGCUUACGCCAGCCAAAAGUUGAACCCACAAGAAAGAAGAUGUCACGAGGAUAAAGAUGCAGAGGAACAUGGGAUGGCAAGGGUGGACCCCAUCACAUGGGAACUUCAGGAACAGGUGAGGCAGAUUGGUGGAAGCCCACAGCUGCAGAAAUAUCUGGGGGCCAGAAAAGUGGCAAAAAGAGGAAGAGGCCCGACGACAGUCGUUCGGUAGAACAGAGCCAGGGAUCUUGAGAUGCCAGGAGAAUGCCCCACUGCCAGGGUAAGCAUCUGGGAGGGCACUGAAGAGGCAGCGACAGCCCUGCUGCAGAAGUGAGCAAGAGGGGAAGAAGGAUGAUAAGAGGUGGCCCAGGAAGGUGGAGGGCCGGAUGGCCAAGCAGCCAGCUUGUUUUGCUUUUUCCUUUUUCUUCUCCUUUGAUCUGAUGUUUACCUGGAGGCAGCAGAUCGUUUGCCGCUGGAGUGAGAAAGGUGGAGACAGCCUUCCCUCCAGCCGCUGGGCUGAAGAUGAAACUUCCCACGCUCAUUAAGUGGUCGCGCGCCGCCAACUAAGCCAGGCAUGGCCACAAUUAGAAAAGAAGAGUGGGGAAGCACAGAGCCGGGGAAAGAACCCUGUAACUGCAGGAAAACCCAGAGCUGCGGAGGAGCGUCCAAAGAGCCCAGAGGAUGUCUGGGACACAGUCUUUCCCUUCUCCCCGCCACCCCACCCGGGGCUAAAAAGAAAACCCUUUGGGCUUUCACGGAAAAAGAAAAGAGCAAACAAUAAAUAAAAGUAAAAAGAAAGAGCUGCUUCAGGCUGGUUAAUUCAGGUACCAUCCCUUCUCCCAAAAACUUGGAAGCCAGGUGGAACUCAAUGGUUAGU